UGCUCCCUGCCGUGUACGUUAAAGACUGAAAUUCUUUGAACCAAUUAUCAGAAUUGGUUGUUGACCAAAGUGAAACUGUUGUGCGCGCCCUCUAAAGGGGUGUGCCUGAAGGAUCCGGGAGACAACCGCCUUGGACCCUGUGGUUCAAGAUGAUGGUCUGACGGCAUAUGCGGGGAGCCC
rnacentral:other from 1 species